AUUUUCACGUUUUCAAUCAUUUCAAUGAGAGCGCAAGCGCAGUCUCUUUAAUUCUUUAUACAUGUUAUCUAGGGCAUUUUUUCUAUGUACAUACAUACAUACCUGCAUUGACAGCAUUUGCUUUUCAAAUCGGUCCAUCUUUUAUCACAAUAAUGUAUACCAUAUAAUUUUAAAAACCUAGUGUGGUCAAGAUUGAUUUCGAUAUAUGAAGUCGAGCUAAUUAAAGAAGAAGAGGAAGACGUGAAAAAUCGUGACCAUGAUUAAGCAAAGACCGUUACAAUUAUAUAUACCGAGACGCAAUAGCAAACAGAAUAUCAGAGGCGAGUGUUGCUGAAAACAAAUUUUAUAUUCCGAGUGUUCUGUAUGUACAUACAUUAAUUAAUUUCAUUAUCUCUACAGUAUCAACGCGUAUAACAUAUAGGUAUUUAUUUCACGUUACAACGCGUUGUUCGCUUUGAUUUAAUAUAUAUAUAUAUAUAUAUUUAACCUCUUAGUUUGUGUCUCUUUAUUUUAAAUAACUUGUCAACAACUUGUUUUUAUCUUUUUCUCUCUUUAGGAAUUUAAUACUGGACAAGGUAGCACCGCGAAGCUGUUCCUCAAGAUCAAUCAAACAUGGUUAUUUUGUUCUCAAAAUGAUAGAUUAGAAGUAAUCCAAAAUCGUAUUCCAAGAGGCGUUAUCAUUCUUAAAAAGGAAGAAUAACGUAACUACGCUUAUUCGAUUGAUACAAAUUUUAGUGUCCGGUAAUGCUGUUAUUGUAAUAGCUCAUGCAAAGUUUGCUAUAUAUUGCGAUGUCUUUCCAACACUUGAUAUACCACGAGGCGUUGUAAAUUUCCUGUCAAAUGAAAACAUAAGCGAUUUAGAAUUAAGUUGAUGUGCAACAGAUUACGUAAACUACGAAAAACAAUUAUUCACUCCUAACUUGGAAAAAAACAUAUAUAAACCUUACUCUACCCAAACAAAUUGUACUCUCUCUCUCUCAAAUAAUUUUAUUAACUAUAUAUAAACUUCUAAUUUGUAAUUUGAAAAGCUAGAGCUACAUAAGAGAGUAUCUUGCACGAUAUUUUUUUAUAUUUUAAAGCAAUACUUCUUUCCCGCCGCAUUCAUUAAUCAGUUCUCUUAAAAAGCUAUAAUAGUUGGAUAACAAUAACAUACUGAAUGUCGAGGUACUUUAUGAAAUAUUUAAAAUGUUUUGUAUUUUAAUUUAUACAUAUACGUACAAUUAUAAAAUUUAUAAUUGCAUUUAUUACUAUUAUGAAAAUAUUUGACACUUUAGCAAAUUAUUCAUAUUUCUUAAGUAUAACACGCAAUAUGUUUUGCAUGUAAUUAUAUUAAUUAAAAAAAUAAAGAAGAGGAAAGAGAUAUUUUUCUUCAAAAUCCUUUUA